rnacentral:rRNA from 1 species
UACGUAGGGGGCAAGCGUUGUCCGGAAUUAUUGGGCGUAAAGAGCUCGUAGGCGGUCUGUCGCGUCUGCUGUGAAAACUCAGGGCUUAACCCUGAGCUUGCAGUGGGUACGGGCAGACUAGAGUGCGGUAGGGGAGACUGGAAUUCCUGGUGUAGCGGUGAAAUGCGCAGAUAUCAGGAGGAACACCGGUGGCGAAGGCGGGUCUCUGGGCCGCAACUGACGCUGAGGAGCGAAAGCAUGGGGAGCGAACAGG